rnacentral:rRNA from 1 species
CCUACGGGAGGCAGCAGUGGGGAAUAUUGGGCAAUGGGCGCAAGCCUGACCCAGCAACGCCGCGUGAAGGAAGAAGGCUUUCGGGUUGUAAACUUCUUUUCUCAGGGACGAAGCAAGUGACGGUACCUGAGGAAUAAGCCACGGCUAACUACGUGCCAGCAGCCGCGGUAAUACGUAGGGGGCAAGCGUUAUCCGGAUUUACUGGGUGUAAAGGGCGGGUAGGCGGGAAAGCAAGUCAGAUGUGAAAACCAUGGGCUCAACCUGUGGCCUGCAUUUGAAACUGUUUGGCUUGAGUACUGGAGAGGCAGACGGAAUUCCUAGUGUAGCGGUGAAAUGCGUAGAUAUUAGGAGGAACACCAGUGGCGAAGGCGGUCUGCUGGACAGCAACUGACGCUGAGGCGCGAAAGCGUGGGGAGCAAACAGGAUUAGAUACCCUUGUAGUC